UAGCAGGAAUUUGCAUGCGUUUAAUUUAAAACUUCAUGCAAUAGAAGAUGUUGCCUGUGGUAGUCAACAAUCCACUAGGGAGUUAGGAUUCUUGUCCUAGGGAUGAGAGAAUUAGAUUCCUGAAUGAGCAGAGAUGAGUCAAAUGACUCCAGCACAUGGGAAUCUUAAUCAAACACAGUGAUAGACAGACCCAAAUCAGGCUUUGCGUUCUCUUCCUGUAAAAAGAAUCAGUAUAAUAAAUGGAUCCAGGCAGAGAGGGAGACUGAAGACUGCCUGCUUUUAAUAAAGUUUGGUUUAGUUGUUGCUAAUUUGGUGUAAUUUUGUUUAAAGAUAGAAGAGGACACAAUUUUGGCCACAGUCACCUGGGGAAUUCCUCCUGAGGUUCAGAGCUAACUCAGGGCAAAUGAGCCCAGAUUAUUUGGGAGCUCCUGCUGUGCAGGGACAAACUGAGCUAACAGAAAAACUACAGCCUCCAAGGCAGACAACAGAAUUUGGAUAAGGAUGAAACCCUCUAGGAAAGUCUCAGUGUCUCACAGGAUUCUCAUAUUCUCUCAAAAGAGGGUUAAAUGUCCUGUCUUGGCAGAUUAGAAAAGGCCUGAAAAAACUGUUUCUACUCUGCUUGUUUGGUUUAGUUCCCUCGUAUGAGUAUUUAAUUUUCGAAAUGUAUGUGAUUUUGAAUUUUCUGGUUAUUUUACUAUUCCUCUGGGAAAGAUGUCAAGCUAAAAAUCUUUCUGGUUACUGGCUAAAGUGUCUGCUAAUUUGGGAGAAAGACCUUAUGUUUCUGCUUAUAGGAAAAGUAAUUAGGCACUGGACUCCUUCCAGGGUUCUCUGGGUCAGAAAGGGCAGAUGAGCCCCCCUGAAGAACUAGAAAAUUCAAGAGAACCAAGCAAGAAAGGUAAAGAUUCCUUAUGCCAUUGUUCACAAUGCAUGAACGAAGACUUAUGAUUAGUUAUUAUUAAAUUUGGCUCAUAAAAAGACUAUCUUUUCACAUGCUUAAACAAAGAGCAGUAUUUCAUCUUGAGUAGUCAAGGUAUUUCAUGUUAAACUGGUUCACAAUUGGCUUAGCAAUCCAGCCUCAGGAUGCAGAGUAACACAGCUGCAUAGAGCUAGCCAUAGGGGCUGGGUGAAACUCUGAUGCCUGUGUUUAGCCAGACUUAGUGUGGGGUUAUUUUAAAAAUUACAUGUAACAAAAAGUGAUUGAAAGAAACUAAAGUCAAAGUUAGGAAAAUAGAAUAAAAAUUAUGGAAAAGAUAUCAGGGAAAAAGCUAAAGUCAAAAAUCCCAAGUAAAAUUCAAACAAAUAACCCACCUUGUAUUCUGUUCAGAAAAGUCACGAAGCUCUCUAGAAGGAGACAAGACAGGAUGCAGCUGUUGGGCUAUCUCAGGCAAACUCUGCACCGGAGCACCUGUUCAAAGAGAUUAGAACAUCAUUAUUGUAUCAUGGAUGUUUACUGGGAGAAUGGAAUGAUUUCACAGCUGAGUUGUGGAAUUCUAUUGAUCUAUAAAAUAACCUAUGCAGUGGAUAAUAUAAAGUUAUGAAAUAUCUUCCAGCUUCAUUAAUCAGAACUAUAAAUUUUCAAUCUAGCCCAUGGAUGCUGAUGGUAACUGUCGCUUCUGUUUCCGACCCGCAGAAAAGAGCGACUACACAGCAUUCUUUUCAAAGCGGUUUAUUCAAGAACCUUACACCAUGCAAACAGGAAUCUUUCUUUUCUUUUCUUCUGUCUCCCUCCCAGCCCAGCCCCCGAGCACACUCCCUUAUAUCCUCCCUCAACUCCGCCUCCUCAAUCCAGACUGCAUAAUCUCAGUUCAUAGGUCCACGUCACAUGGCCUGAUCUUGCAUCAUGGUGCACCUGCACAGCUCUCACAAUGGACGUGGCUAGUUUCAGGUGUGUGAGGAAGUCAGAUGCUAGUCACGAGACUUAGCUGCAGUCCCAGGCGCCAUCUUGGGACUACCGCCACACCCGCUCCCCACAGAAUUGGAAAGCUCACCUUUGAUCCUGAUUUGAGGCUGGGAGACACAAAUUUCUGAACUGAAUCUUGGCAUGGAGAUCAUGAGGCAAAGUGGCUGUGAAUCUCAGGAGUUUAAGACAAGGAGAUCUCUGAGUUCAAGGUCACCUAGGACAAAGCAAGUCCCAGUUCCAGCUGUGGUGGUACACACCUUUAAUCUGGGACACACCUUCUGCUGGAGAUUUAUAUAAGGACAUUGGAAGAAGGAAGAGUCUCUCUUUCAUCUGCCUGCCUGAUUUGUAGGACUGAGCCACUGCUAGAUCCUUGGACUCCUAUUCAUACCUGUUGCUGAUCAUUGUUGGGGAGUUGGACUAUAGACUGCAAGUCAUCAACCAAUUGUCUUACUGUACAGAGAUUUCCCAUAAGUUCUGUGUCUCUAAAGAACCCUGUAUAAGACAAUUCUCUUUUAUAAUAUAUAAUUUCUAUUGAUAGAUAAUGUAAUUUAUUUUUUUAUUCAUAAUAUUAUUAUAUUCAUCCCUAUGUUUAUAUGUAAAUAAAACACAGGUUGUAUGCCUAUGAAACAGUAACACACUGCAUACUUGAUGACUGCUGUCUUUUCCCUACUCCCUACUGCAGGGGAGAAAAUGGACCAUUCUCAUCAAUGAAAAAGGUAAAAUAAAAUGUUAACUAUUGGCUGGAAACACA